rnacentral:rRNA from 1 species
UACGUAGGGGGCAAGCGUUGUCCGGAAUUAUUGGGCGUAAAGAGCUCGUAGGCGGUUCGUCGCGUCGGCUGUGAAAACCUGAGGCUCAACCUCAGGCCUGCAGUCGAUACGGGCGGACUUGAGUACUGCAGGGGAGACUGGAAUUCCCGGUGUAGCGGUGAAAUGCGCAGAUAUCGGGAGGAACACCGGUGGCGAAGGCGGCUCACUGGUCCGGAACUGACGCUGAGGCACGACAGCGUGGGGAGCAAACAGG